rnacentral:misc_RNA from 1 species
GCAAACUUGGUCAUUUAGAGGAAGUAAAAGUCGUAACAAGGUUUCCGUAGGUGAACCUGCGGAAGGAUCAUUACCGAAGUGCAAGAAUCCCAUUCUUGAAACCCAAUCCGUGUACUCGUACUUGUUGCUUUCGUGGGCGGCGGAGAGAGGCGCAGCUUCGCUCCCCUCACCUCUUCGGAGGCGUCCGCGAAAGGUUUACCGAAUCUCUGCAUUUUUGGUUGUAACGUCGGAUUUCAUACUAUUCAAUGAACGUUAAAACUUUCAACAACGGAUCUCUUGGUUCUCGCAUCGAUGAAGAACGCAGC